GACGAACGCUGGCGGCGUGCUUAACACAUGCAAGUCGAGCGGUAAGGCCCUUUCGGGGGUACGACGAGCGGCGAACGGGUGAGUAACACGUGGGUGACCUGCCCUCAGCUCUGGGAUAAGCCUGGGAAACCGGGUCUAAUACUGGAUAUGACUCCAUGACGCAUGUUGUGGGGUGGAAAGCCUUGUGCGGCUGAGGAUGGGCCCGCGGCCUAUCAGCUUGUUGGUGGGGNGAUGGCCUACCAAGGCGACGACGGGUAGCCGGCCUGAGAGGGCGACCGGCCACACUGGGACUGAGACACGGCCCAGACUCCUACGGGAGGCAGCAGUGGGGAAUCUUGCGCAAUGGGCGAAAGCCUGACGCAGCGACGCCGCGUGAGGGAUGACGGCCUGGUGUAACU
rnacentral:rRNA from 1 species